GUCGAACGCUGGCGGCGUGCUUAACACAUGCAAGUCGAACGAAGUGGCGAACGGGUGAGUAAUACGUGGGUAACCUGCCCUUCUUUUUGGGAUAAGCCUUGGAAAAGGGGUUUAAUACCGAAAAAAGGGGGAUGGGCUCGCGGCCUAUCAGCUUGUUGGUGGGGUGACGGCCUACCAAGGCGGUGACGGGUAGCCGGCCUGAGAGGGUGACCAGCCACAUUGGGACUGAGAGACGGCCCAGACGCCUACGGGAGGAAGCAGUGGGGAAUAUUGCACAAUGGGCGCAAGCCUGAUACAGCCAUGCCGCGUGUAUGAAGAAGGCCUUAGGGUUGUAAAGUACUUUCAGCGGGGAGGCGUUACCCGAAGAAGAAGCACCGGCUAACUCCGUGCCAGCAGCCGCGGUAAUAC
rnacentral:rRNA from 1 species